UACAGAGGUCUCAAGCGUUGUUCGGAUUCAUUGGGCGUAAAGCGUGCGUAGGCGGUGCAGUAAGUUGGAAUUGAAAGCCCGGGGCUCAACUCCGGAUCCGGUUCCAAAACUAUUGUACUUGAGCGUAUCAGAGGACAGCGGAAUUCCCGGUGUAGCGGUAAUAUGCGUAGAUAUCGAGAGGAACACCUGCGGCGAAGGCGGGUUGCUGGGCUGAUACUGACGCUGAGGCGCGAAAGCCAGGGGAGCGAACGGG
rnacentral:rRNA from 1 species